AGUGAACGCUGGCGGUAGGCCUAACACAUGCAAGUCGAACGGCAGCACAGUAAGAGCUUGCUCUUACGGGUGGCGAGUGGCGGACGGGUGAGGAAUACAUCGGAAUCUACUUUUUCGUGGGGGAUAACGUAGGGAAACUUACGCUAAUACCGCAUACGACCUACGGGUGAAAGCAGGGGAUCUUCGGACCUUGCGCGAAUGAAUGAGCCGAUGUCGGAUUAGCGAGUUGGGGGGGUAAAGGCCCACCAAGGCGACGAUCCGUAGCUGGUCUGAGAGGAUGACCAGCCACACUGGAACUGAGACACGGUCCAGACUCCUACGGGAGGCAGCAGUGGGGAAUAUUGGACAAUGGGCGCAAGCCUGAUCCAGCCAUACCGCGUGGAUGAAGAAGGCCUUCGGGUUGUAAAGCACUUUUGUUGGGAAAGAAAAGAAGAAGGUUAAUACCCCGCUGUUCUGACGGUACCCAAAGAAGAAGCACCGGCUAACUUCGUG
rnacentral:rRNA from 1 species